rnacentral:rRNA from 1 species
AUUGAACGCUGGCGGCAUGCCUUACACAUGCAAGUCGAACGGUAACGGGCCUUCGGGUGCCGACGAGUGGCGAACGGGUGAGUAAUACAUCGGAACGUGCCCGAUCGUGGGGGAUAACGAGGCGAAAGCUUUGCUAAUACCGCUUACGAUCUACGGAUGAAAGCAGGGGACCGCAAGGCCUUGCGCGGACGGAGCGGCCGAUGGCAGAUUAGGUAGUUGGUGGGAUAAAAGCGUACCAAGCCGACGAUCUGUAGCUGGUCUGAGAGGAUGAUCAGCCACACUGGGACUGAGACACGGCCCAGACUCCUACGGGAGGCAGCAGUGGGGAAUUUUGGACAAUGGGCGCAAGCCUGAUCCAGCCAUGCCGCGUGCAGGAUGAAGGCCUUCGGGUUGUAAACUGCUUUUGUACGGAACGAAAAGCCUUCUUUUAAUACAGGAGGGUCAUGACGGUACCGUAAGAAUAAGCACCGGCUAACUACGUG